UCCAGGUCGGUUUCUAUCUAUGUACACGCCCCACCUAGUACGAAAGGAGCGGUGAAGCAAAGCCAAUACUACAAGCACGCUUUAAUAUAAAAUAACCCACUAACAUAAAAUUAACCCCCCCCCAAACCAAGAAAAGGUUAAUUAAGAACCACCUUAAUACAUC
rnacentral:rRNA from 1 species